GUCGAGCGGACAGAUGGGAGCUUGCUCCCUGAUGUUAGCGGCGGACGGGUGAGUAACACGUGGGUAACCUGCCUGUAAGACUGGGAUAACUCCGGGAAACCGGGGCUAAUACCGGAUGGUUGUUUGAACCGCAUGGUUCAAACAUAAAAGGUGGCUUCGGCUACCACUUACAGAUGGACCCGCGGCGCAUUAGCUAGUUGGUGAGGUAACGGCUCACCAAGGCAACGAUGCGUAGCCGACCUGAGAGGGUGAUCGGCCACACUGGGACUGAGACACGGCCCAGACUCCUACGGGAGGCAGCAGUAGGGAAUCUUCCGCAAUGGACGAAAGUCUGACGGAGCAACGCCGCGUGAGUGAUGAAGGUUUUCGGAUCGUAAAGCUCUGUUGUUAGGGAAGAACAAGUACCGUUCGAAUAGGGCGGUACCUUGACGGUACCUAACCAGAAAGCCACGGCUAACUACGUGCCAGCAGCCGCGGUAAUACGUAGGUGGCAAGCGUUGUCCGGAAUUAUUGGGCGUAAAGGGCUCGCAGGCGGUUUCUUAAGUCUGAUGUGAAAGCCCCCGGCUCAACCGGGGAGGGUCAUUGGAAACUGGGGAACUUGAGUGCAGAAGAGGAGAGUGGAAUUCCACGUGUAGCGGUGAAAUGCGUAGAGAUGUGGAGGAACACCAGUGGCGAAGGCGACUCUCUGGUCUGUAACUGACGCUGAGGAGCGAAAGCGUGGGGAGCGAACAGGAUUAGAUACCCUGGUAGUCCACGCCGUAAACGAUGAGUGCUAAGUGUUAGGGGGUUUCCGCCCCUUAGUGCUGCAGCUAACGCAUUAAGCACUCCGCCUGCGGAGUACGGUCGCAAGACUGAAACUCACAGGAAUUGACGGGGGCCCGCACAAGCGGUGGAGCAUGUGGUUUAAUUCAAAGCAACGCGAAGAACCUUACCAGGUCUUGACAUCCUCUGACAAUCCUAGAGAUAGGACGU
rnacentral:rRNA from 1 species